UACGAAGGGGGCUAGCGUUGCUCGGAAUCACUGGGCGUAAAGGGCGCGUAGGCGGAUCUUUAAGUCGGGGGUGAAAGCCCAGGGCUCAACCCUGGAAUUGCCUUCGAUACUGGAGAUCUUGAGACCGGAAGAGGUAAGUGGAACUGCGAGUGUAGAGGUGAAAUUCGUAGAUAUUCGCAAGAACACCAGUGGCGAAGGCGGCUUACUGGUCCGGUUCUGACGCUGAGGUGCGAAAGCGUGGGGAGCAAACAGG
rnacentral:rRNA from 1 species